GAUGUAGGGCGCGAGCGUUGUCCGGAUUUAUUGGGCGUAAAGAGCUCGUAGGCGGCUUGUCGCGUCGACCGUGAAAACUUGGGGCUCAACCCCAAGCCUGCGGUCGAUACGGGCAGGCUAGAGUUCGGUAGGGGAGACUGGAAUUCCUGGUGUAGCGGUGAAAUGCGCAGAUAUCAGGAGGAACACCGAUGGCGAAGGCAGGUCUCUGGGCAUUAACUGACGCUGAGGAGCGAAAGCAUGGGGAGCGAACAGG
rnacentral:rRNA from 1 species